rnacentral:rRNA from 1 species
AUUGAACGCUGGCGGCAUGCCUUACACAUGCAAGUCGAACGGUAACGCGGGGCAACCUGGCGACGAGUGGCGAACGGGUGAGUAAUGCAUCGGAACGUGCCCAGUAGUGGGGGAUAGCCCGGCGAAAGCCGGAUUAAUACCGCAUACGAUCUAUGGAUGAAAGCGGGGGAUCGCAAGACCUCGCGCGAUUGGAGCGGCCGAUAUCAGAUUAGCUAGUUGGUGGGGUAAAGGCUCACCAAGGCGACGAUCUGUAGCUGGUCUGAGAGGACGACCAGCCACACUGGAACUGAGACACGGUCCAGACUCCUACGGGAGGCAGCAGUGGGGAAUUUUGGACAAUGGGCGCAAGCCUGAUCCAGCAAUGCCGCGUGCAGGAUGAAGGCC